GUAAAUAUAGUUUAACAAAAACAUUAGAUUGUGAAUCUAAUAAUAGAAUCUAAAGCUUCUUAUUUACC